UCCACCGCUUUAGUCCGCUCAGCCAUCUCUCC
rnacentral:tRNA from 2 species